rnacentral:rRNA from 1 species
UACGGCUCCAGUAAACACGUGGACACACCUACCCUAGUGGAGGGGGAUAACCCCGGGAAACUGGGGAUAAUACCCCAUAGACUAUAGAUGCUGGAAUGCUUUGUAGUUGAAAGGUCCGCCGCCAUAGGAUGGGUCUGCGGCCGAUUAGGUUGUUGUUGGGGUAACGGCCCAACAAGCCUGUAAUCGGUACGGGUUGUGGGAGCAAGAGCCCGGAGAUGGAUUCUGAGACACGAAUCCAGGCCCUACGGGGCGCAGCAGGCGCGAAAACUUUACAAUGCGGGAAACCGUGAUAAGGGAACUCCGAGUGCCCGUAAAAUCGGGCUGUCCAUCUGUUUAAAUAACAGGUGAAGAAAGGGCCGGGCAAGACCGGUGCCAGCCGCCGCGGUAAUACCGGCGGCUCGAGUGGUGGCCACUAUUACUGGGCUUAAAGCGUUCGUAGCUGGUCUGUUAAGUCUCUGGGGAAAUCUACUGGCUUAACCAAUAGGCGUCUCAGGGAUACUGGCAGACUAGGGACCGGGAGAGGUGAGAGGUACUCCAGGGGUAGGAGUGAAAUCCUGUAAUCCUUGGGGGACCACCUGUGGCGAAGGCGUCUCACCAGAACGGCUCCGACAGUGAGGGACGAAAGCUGGGGGAGCAAACCGGAUUAGAUACCCGGGUAGUCCCAGCCGUAAACGAUGCGCGUUAGGUGUAUCGGUGACCACGAGUCACCGAGGUGCCGAAGAGAAAUCGUGAAACGUGCCGCCUGGGAAGUACGGUCGCAAGGCUGAAACUUAAAGGGAAUUGGGCGGGGGGGAG